GUAAGGACGUCCGCCCAUCACCAGCUUCGAGGAAUCUCCUCAGCCCUCUGCAGCUUCUGGAGAACAAGACAGCGCCUGAGGGUCGUCAGGGGCCAAGGCACUCACAAGGGGAAGGAGGAAAGGAGGAAGGAAAGAAGCAAGGGAAAGACGUGCCUGAACUGAGCUGGCGCAGAAAGAGCUGCAGAUGACGCCUCAGGGAGUUUCCGGGGACCAUGCGUAGACCCAAGGACUUGGAGUAAGAAGCUGCAUUGAGGCAUGGACGAGUAGAAGAUAGGAAUGAACGAUGAAGAUCAGCCACUGGGACUGACUCGGUUGCAAAGGAUAGACAAGCAUGUACUUAGUACAUAGAAGCUUUUUAUCAAAUGUUUACUGAAUGAAUGAAUGAAUGGUAAAUGUCUUGAAGUCAGAUGAUAUAUGUUAUCCAUCUUCAAAGUCCUCAGAACACCUACUACAUCACCUAGCACAUGGGAGACCUCAGUAAGGAUUGAGGGAAUAUUUACUGAGGUAAUUGUUAAUACAAGGAAAUACAGUUCUCCCUAAAGGAAACCAUGG
ensembl:lncRNA